AGAGAGAGAGAGAGAGAGAGAGAGAGAGAGAGAGAGAGAGAGAGAGAGAGAGAGAGAGAGAGAGAGAGAGAGAGAGAGAGAGAGAGAGAGAGAGAGAGAGAGAGAGAGAAUAAUAAGUGUGUUAUAUAAUAGAUCUUAUAUACCUGAAAUUUCGAAAUAGACACAAGAAAUUUUGAAAUGAAAAUGAAAAAAAGAAAACUAAAUAGAAACAAAAUUAAA